rnacentral:rRNA from 1 species
GUAAAGAUGAAUAGGAGCGGUUGGGGGCAUUGGUAUUGAGCGCUUAGAGGUGAAAUUCUUGGACCGUCUGAAGACUGCCUACUGCGAAAGCAUUUGCCAAGGAUGUUUUCAUUAAUCAAGAACGAAAGUUAGAGGUU